rnacentral:rRNA from 1 species
UGAGGAAUAUUGGUCAAUGGGCGAGAGCCUGAACCAGCCAAGUCGCGUGAAGGAAGACGGCCAUAUGGGUUGUAAACUUCUUUUGUACGGGGAUAAAAAAGGGUAUGUAUACUCUCUUGUAGGUACCUUACGAAUAAGGAUCGGCUAACUCCGUGCCAGCAGCCGCGGUAAUACGGAGGAUCCGAGCGUUAUCCGGAUUUAUUGGGUUUAAAGGGUGCGUAGGCGGGACUACAAGUCAGUGGUGAAAGUUUGCAGCUUAACUGUAAAAUUGCCAUUGAAACUGUAUUUCUUGAGUACAGAAGAGGUAAGCGGAAUGUGUAGUGUAGCGGUGAAAUGCAUAGAUAUUACACAGAACACCGAUUGCGAAGGCAGCUUACUGGUAUGUAACUGACGCUGAGGCACGAAAGCGUGGGGAUCAAACA